rnacentral:misc_RNA from 1 species
AAAGUCGUAACAAGGUAACCGUAGGUGAACCUGCGGUUGGAUCAUUAAAAAGUUGGUCGCCUUUAAAAGCGCCAUCACAUCAUGUGAACUUACGAUUGUUAUUGGCGGUUCAGUCACUUGAUUAAACUGCGUUGAGUAGGCCGCCAUGAGACUUCGAGUCUCGCUUUAACAAACAUUCUCUUUAUUGUCUUUCUUCCAGUAAUGGAAACCACAAUUGAAAACAACUUUUGGCAACGGAUCUCUUGGCUCUC